GCUCACAAAUUAUAUAAUUAAUCCAGGAGAGGGCAGUUAAAGUAUCGAUCUGCAUCGAUCCACUCUAUCAAAUAAUUUCUAAUAAACAACACCUACAAUUACUAACAAAACCUGCAAUAAACAGGAACUCAUAAUAGCUACAAAUCAAUAGAGAAUAAAAAGAAUAAUUAAAAAUAUUUAAAUGUAUGCGAAAUAUCAGUUUGAAUAAUUCACGACGGUUUACAUCCGUCAAAUCCUUCAGCUUCCCCGUCAGUUGCCAUUGCUGAUAAAUUCAUGAAAUACAUGUCGUGUUCGAUUAUUCGCGAUACACUGAUUAAUUGGGUAAUUUUAAGUGAUUAAAUGAUUCAACGACGAUUCAAAGGUAAUUCCAUUGACAAUAAUUGAAAGAGGAUUUGGCGGAAGUUAUUGGCUAGCUCACCGCCGGUAAUAUUACACGAUCCAUCUGGCAGGUGUGCCAACUUGAUUAACGAGAAAUGUUUUGCUCCGUCUAGCGUCGUACAAUGUGCGAAUUCUUGUUCGCGUAAAUUUCCUGGAAGCUGAUUUCCACGUAUGAAAGCGUUUCGAACAUAUUAACGUUUUUCCAAAUUCGCUUUUUGUUUCGAUAUUGUUGCAGAGUUCGUGCGGAUUUUGUGCCAGUUUCUCGAGGAAGGAAAAUGUCACGCAGGUGUUUUAGAAUAAUGAACAUAACUGGUGUUCUAUAGGUACGUGCAUAACCUUAUCUCAAAGAGUUCCAGAAUAUUCUCUGCAAUGAUCCUCCACAAUGAUUCUAAUUUUUAAUAAAUAAGAAAAUGACACGUGAAAUAAUGUGUAUCCGCAUACAAUAUGAACUUUCUCACAAAUUUUCUAUGGCUCUCAAAAAUUUUGAAAUGAAAAUUACGUGACAUUUAAAAAUACGAAGACGCAUUGGAUUACGCAAACGAGCAUCAAGCGCGGAGAAAAUAUGACGAUUUUAAUUAGUGAACAUGAAGCAACAUGAAAGGGACCAUUUCAAUUAACAGAAUCUAAAGUAUAUCGUGGUUAAUUGAUUGAAUAAUUUGCACAGUGCUUUUGAUGAUAAUUAUAAAGGUCUGACAAUACAUUUUGCAAAAUAUAGAGAAGGAAAAUUAUAGAGAAUAAAUUUCAUAAAAAAUUUAUCUCUAUUUGCAAUCAAAUGUUGCAGUAAAAUUCUUCAAUUUUUUCA